rnacentral:rRNA from 1 species
AUGGCGUCGACGACGUUCCGGCGCUUCGGCGUGGCGGCGGCGGCCGCCGCGUUCAUCGCGCUCGCGGCCUUCGGAUCCGCCUCGGCGUCCAAGACGGCCUUCGUGAAGUCCACCGUCAAGGCCCACGACGUCGUCAUCUUCUCCAAGUCCUACUGCCCGUACUGUAAAAGGGCAAAGGCUGUGUUUAAGGAACUUGAACUGAAGAAGGACCCAUAUGUCGUCGAGCUUGAUCAGCGAGAGGAUGGUGGGGAAAUCCAGGACGCCUUAUCCGACAUGGUUGGCAGGCGUACUGUUCCUCAGGUUUUUAUCCGAGGAAAGCACUUGGGAGGCUCUGAUGAUACCGUUGAUGCAUAUGAAAGUGGCGAGCUGGCUAAACUUCUGAAUAUUAGUGUCAAGGACGAUCUUUGA